UCCCGAAUCCUGACACAGGGAGGUAGUGACAAGAAAUAACAAUACAGGGCUACUUCUAGUCUUGUAAUUGGAAUGAGUACAACUUACAUCUCUUCACGAGGAUCAAUUGGAGGGCAAGUCUGGUGCCAGCAGCCGCGGUAAUUCCAGCUCCAAAAGCGUAUAUUAAAGUUGUUGCAGUUAAAACGCUCGUAGUCGGGUUUCGGGUCGGGCCGAGCGGUCUGCCGAUGGGUAUGCACUGUUUGGCGCGGCCUUCUUUCCGGAGACCGCGGCUACUCUUAACUGAGCGGGCGUGGGAGACGGAUCGUUUACUUUGAAAAAAUCAGAGUGUUUCAAGCAGGCAGCUCGCUCUUGCAUGGUACAGCAUGGGAUGAUUGAAUAGGACUCCGGUGCUAUUUUGUUGGUUUCGAACACCAGGAGUAAUGAUUAACAGGGACAGUCAG
rnacentral:rRNA from 1 species